rnacentral:rRNA from 1 species
ACGCUGGCGGCGUGCCUAAUACAUGCAAGUCGAACGGAGAUAUUCGCUGAUGAAGUACUUCGGUAAUGAAUCUUGGAUAUCUUAGUGGCGGACGGGUGAGUAACGCGUGAGCAACCUGCCUUUCAGAGGGGAUAACGUUUGAACGAACGCUAAUACCGCAUGACAUUAUCUUAUCGCAUGGUAGGAUAAUCAAAGGAGCAAUCCGCUGAAAGAUGGGCUCGCGUCCGAUUAGGUAGUUGGUGGGGUAACGGCCCACCAAGCCGACGAUCGGUAGCCGGACUGAGAGGUUGGACGGCCACAUUGGGACUGAGACACGGCCCAGACUCCUACGGGGGGCAGCAGUAAGGGAUAUUGGUCAAUGGGGGAAACCCUGAACCAGCAACGCCGCGUGAGGGAAGACGGUUUUCGGAUUGUAAACCUCUGUCCUCUGUGAAGAUGAUGACGGUAGCAGAGGAGGAAGCUCCGGCUAACUACGUG